rnacentral:rRNA from 1 species
UACGUAGGGGGCAAGCGUUGUCCGGAAUCAUUGGGCGUAAAGAGCGUGUAGGCGGCUCGGUAAGUCCGCUGUGAAAGUCCAGGGCUCAACCCUGGAAUGCCGGUGGAAACUGUCGAGCUAGAGUCCGGAAGAGGCGAGUGGAAUUCCUGGUGUAGCGGUGAAAUGCGCAGAUAUCAGGAGGAACACCAAUGGCGAAGGCAGCUCGGUGGGACGGUACUGACGCUGAGACGCGAAAGCGUGGGGAGCAAACAGG